rnacentral:rRNA from 1 species
AGGACGAACGCUGGCGGCGUGCUUAACACAUGCAAGUCGAGCGGAAAGGCCCUUCGGGGUACUCGAGCGGCGAACGGGUGAGUAACACGUGAGCAAUCUGCCCUUAGCUCUGGGAUAGCUCCGGGAAACCGGAAUUAAUACCGGAUAUUACACCGGCUGGCAUCGGCUGGUGUGGAAAGAUUUAUCGGCUAAGGAUGGACUCGCGGCCUAUCAGCUUGUUGGUGGGGUAGAAGCCUACCAAGGCGACGACGGGUA